UGAGGAAUAUUGGGCAAUGGGCGGAAGCCUGACCCAGCAACGCCGCGUGGAGGAAUGAAGGCCUUCGGGUUGUAAACUCCUUUUGCAGGGGAAGAGGAAGGACGGUACCCUGCGAAUAAGUCACGGCUAACUACGUGCCAGCAGCCGCGGUAAUACGUAGGUGACGAGCGUUAUCCGGAAUUACUGGGCGUAAAGCGCACGCAGGCGGCUGCAUAAGUCUGACGUGAAAUCUCUCGGCUUAACCGGGAGGGGUCGUUGGAGACUGUGCGGCUUGAGGCGAUGAGAGGGGUGUAGAAUUCCCGGUGUAGUGGUGGAAUGCGUAGAUAUCGGGAGGAAUACCAGUGGCGAAAGCGGCACCCUGGCAUUAGCCUGACGCUCAUGUGCGAAAGCGUGGGGAGCA
rnacentral:rRNA from 1 species